UGUCCAGACUCCUACGGGAGGCAGCAGUGGGGAAUAUUGCGCAAUGGGCGAAAGCCUGACGCAGCGACGCCGCGUGAGGGAUGAAGGUCUUCGGAUCGUAAACCUCUGUCAGCAGGGAAGAACGGUCACUGUGCUAAUCAGCAGUGAAUUGACGGUACCUGACUAAGAAGCCCCGGCUAACUACGUGCCAGCAGCCGCGGUAAUACGUAGGGGGCGAGCGUUAUCCGGAUUUACUGGGUGUAAAGGGAGCGUAGACGGUUCUGCAAGUCUGAAGUGAAAGCCCGUGGCUUAACCGCGGAACGGCUUUGGAAACUGUGGAACUGGAGUGCUGGAGAGGCAAGCGGAAUUCCUAGUGUAGCGGUGAAAUGCGUAGAUAUUAGGAGGAACACCAGUGGCGAAGGCGGCUUGCUGGACAGUAACUGACGUUGAGGCUCGAGAGCGUGGGGAGCAAACAGGAUUAGAUACCCUCGUAA
rnacentral:rRNA from 1 species